UCCGAGAGCCCGAGGGCGGCGUUCGCUGGUAAAUAGAGAGGCUCUGGGUCCCUCGCUUCGCCGGUGGAAGACUUGGGGUCAGCAAGUGGACAUGCGCAGCCGACGGGCUGGGAGGACCGACGCCUGACCCGUCUGUGCACCUGCUGACUUCCGGGGGCGCGUGCCUCGGCCCAAGUCCCGGUUCCAGAAACCUUGGUGGAAGAAGGCACCUGAACCUUGAGUUCCGGGCUGGGGAAGAAGAACUUUGUUUUAAGGCCCGCGUCCUCUGAGCCUCAUCCACACCAAGAAUGUUGAUGGCGUGCGAGCUCUUACUCUUUAAAACCCUUCACUCUGUAAACGAGCGUAGCGAGGCAGUCCUACCUUCCUGGGGGCUCAGAUCCUGGAAUUCCGGCCACAGGAAAAUCGAGUGAGCCUACAGUGUACUUAGCACCAGAGAAGGAGGGGGCUCCGGAAAGGACAAGGACUCCGCUAACUCUCAUCGGUUGUAUGCGUUGCUUCUCAGCUUUGAAGGCCAAGACCAUAAAUCAGAGCAACAGCUGUUGAUGAGAACUUGGAAGAUGGGUUGUCAUUAGUCAAACCCACCAUAGCACACAGCACAUAAACCCAGCCAGGAGACGCAGCUGUCCUGGUUUGGGAUGAUUUUAUCUCUUUUCCUGCUAUUCAGCUACUUAGGAACUAACUUAGGUAAGGGUGUGGUGGUGGCUCCUGCUAACCUGCGCUUGAGCGGAUGGCGGGAGAAUCGCCCCUACUUCAAAACCUUGUAAUAACAAUAGUAAUAAUAGGCCGGACAUUGGUGGCGCACGCCUUUAAUCCCAGAUCUCGGGAGGCAGAGGCAGGUAGAUCUCUGUGAGUUUGAGGCCAGCCUGGUCUCCAGAGCGAGUGCAGGACAGGCUCCAAAGCUACACAGAGAACCCCUGUCUCGAAAAACAAACAAAAAAGUAAUAAUAAUAAUAAUAAUAAUAAUAAUAAUAAUAAUAAUAAUAGAAACCGAUUUAGCAAUUAGGUUUUCGAAUGUGUCCACACUUGUUCUAGUGACAGCUCAUCUAACCAAGGAUACAUGUUACCUUUCGCCAGAUAGGAGUCUUCAGAGCUCAGUUCUCAACCCCAAACGGGGGUGCAGAUGAUGAUGGGGAGCCUCUGAAACCAACAGUAGAUAAUCGCAUAGAAGCAUAUUUGAGAGUAAAAGUCAAAAACCCAAUGUGAAACACCACAGCUUUAGUUUUGAAUGGCUACUUUUGACAGUCUGGACGUUUAUUGAAUUGUAUAGACUUUGGAUCUGGUUCAUUUCAUUGGUUUUUGUUUAUGUUUUUGGUAAUGAUUUUUAUAAUAAAGUUUAAAAAAUCUGGGAUCAAUA